rnacentral:rRNA from 1 species
GCCGGCCUCGCGCCGGCUUAGGGGAGACGGCGGCCGUCCGCGGCCGCCCGCAUCCCCGGGGCGUCUCGAUCUACCGCCGCUCGUCGGCGGAAGGCGAGGUGCACCUAGAGCGCGCACGCUGGGACCCGAAAGAUGGUGAACUAUGCCUGGCCAGGACGAAGUCAGGGGAAACCCUGAUGGAGGUCCGUAGCGAUUCUGACGUGCAAAUCGAUCGUCAGAGCUGGGUAUAGGGGCGAAAGACUAAUCGAACCAUCUAGUAGCUGGUUCCCUCCGAAGUUUCCCUCAGGAUAGCUGGCGUCCAGCGAACCGAGUCCCAUCCGGUAAAGCGAAUGAUUAGAGGCCUUGGGGUCGAAACGACCUCAACCUAUUCUCAAACUUUAAAUGGGUGGGAUCCGCGGCUUUUUUGAACGUGAAGCCGCGGAACACGGAUCCGGACGCCAAGUGGGCCACUUUUGGUAAGCAGAACUGGCGCUGUGGGAUGAACCAAACGCCCGGUUAAGGCGCCCGAACCGACGCUCAUCGGAAACCAUGAAAGGUGUUGGUUGCUUAAGACAGCAGGACGGUGGCCAUGGAAGUCGGAAUCCGCUAAGGAGUGUGUAACAACUCACCUGCCGAAGCAACUAGCCCUGAAAAUGGAUGGCGCUGAAGCGUCGUGCCUAUACCGGGCCGUCGGGGCAGANGNCGCGGGCANCCGCGCUGCGAAGCCCCGACGAGUAGGAGGGUCGCUGCGGUGAGCGCAGAAGGUCUGGGCGCGAGCCCNCCUGGAGCCGCCGCAGGUGCAGAUCUUGGUGGUAGUAGCAAAUACUCCAGCGAGGCCCUGGAGGACUGAUGUGGAGAAGGGUUCCGUGUGAACAGCCGUUGCACACGGGUCAGUCGAUCCUAAGCCCUAGGAGAAAUCCGAUGUUGAUGGACAGCGGGACGUCGCGGCGAGAGCUACGAGCACCCCGUCCGUCGGGCGAAAGGGAAUCCGGUUCCUAUUCCGGAACCCGGUUGCGGAACCGCACUCACGAUCCUCGUAUUGACACGGUAACGUGAAUGACCCCAGAGAUGCCGUCUGGAGCCCCGGGAAGAGUUUUCUUUUCUGCCUGAGCGUUCGGGUUCCAUGGAAUCCUCUAGCAGGGAGAUAUGGAAUGGAGCGCAAAGAGCACCGCAGUUGCUGCGGUGUCCGGGGAGUCCCGUCGGCCCUUGAAAAUCUGGGUGAGGGUCACGUGGAGUCGCCGCACCGGUUCGUACCCAUAUCCGCAGCAGGUCUCCAAGGUCAAGAGCCUCUAGUCGAUAGAAUAAUGUAGGUAAGGGAAGUCA